rnacentral:rRNA from 1 species
GACGAACGCUUGCGGCGUGCUUAACACAUGCAAGUCGAACGGAAAGGCCCUGCUUUUGUGGGGUGCUCGAGUGGCGAACGGGUGAGUAACACGUGAGUAACCUGCCCUUGACUUUGGGAUAACUUCAGGAAACUGGGGCUAAUACCGGAUAGGAGCUCCUGCUGCAUGGUGGGGGUUGGAAAGUUUCGGCGGUUGGGGAUGGACUCGCGGCUUAUCAGCUUGUUGGUGGGGUAGUGGCUUACCAAGGCUUUGACGGGUAGCCGGCCUGAGAGGGUGACCGGCCACAUUGGGACUGAGAUACGGCCCAGACUCCUACGGGAGGCAGCAGUGGGGAAUAUUGCACAAUGGGCGGAAGCCUGAUGCAGCAACGCCGCGUGCGGGAUGACGGCCUUCGGGUUGUAAACCGCUUUCGCCUGUGACGAAGCGUGAGUGACGGUAAUGGGUAAAGAAGCACCGGCUAACUACGUGCCAGCAGCCGCGGUGAUACGUAGGGUGCGAGCGUUGUCCGGAUUUAUUGGGCGUAAAGGGCUCGUAGGUGGUUGAUCGCGUCGGAAGUGUAAUCUUGGGGCUUAACCCUGAGCGUGCUUUCGAUACGGGUUGACUUGAGGAAGGUAGGGGAGAAUGGAAUUCCUGGUGGAGCGGUGGAAUGCGCAGAUAUCAGGAGGAACACCAGUGGCGAAGGCGGUUCUCUGGGCCUUUCCUGACGCUGAGGAGCGAAAGCGUGGGGAGCGAACAGGCUUAGAUACCCUGGUAGUCCACGCUGUAAACGGUGGGUACUAGGUGUGGGGUCCAUUCCACGGGUUCCGUGCCGUAGCUAACGCUUUAAGUACCCCGCCUGGGGAGUACGGCCGCAAGGCUAAAACUCAAAGGAAUUGACGGGGCCCCGCACAAGCGGCGGAGCAUGCGGAUUAAUUCGAUGCAACGCGUAGAACCUUACCUGGGUUUGACAUGGAUCGGGAGUGCUCAGAGAUGGGUGUGCCUCUUUUGGGGUCGGUUCACAGGUGGUGCAUGGCUGUCGUCAGCUCGUGUCGUGAGAUGUUGGGUUAAGUCCCGCAACGAACGCAACCCUUGUUCACUGUUGCCAGCACGUUAUGGUGGGGACUCAGUGGAGACCGCCGGGGUCAACUCGGAGGAAGGUGGGGAUGACGUCAAGUCAUCAUGCCCCUUAUGUCCAGGGCUUCACGCAUGCUACAAUGGCUGGUACAGAGAGUGGCGAGCCUGUGAGGGUGAGCGAAUCUCGGAAAGCCGGUCUCAGUUCGGAUUGGGGUCUGCAACUCGACCUCAUGAAGUCGGAGUCGCUAGUAAUCGCAGAUCAGCAACGCUGCGGUGAAUACGUUCCCGGGGCU